UACGUAGGGAGCGAGCGUUGUCCGGAUUCAUUGGGCGUAAAGAGCUCGUAGGCGGCUUGCUUAGUCGGAUGUGAAACCUCCAGGCUCAACCUGGAGUCGCCAUCCGAUACUGUCAUGGCUAGAGUCCGGUAGGGGCCCACGGAAUUCCUGGUGUAGCGGUGAAAUGCGCAGAUAUCAGGAGGAACACCGGUGGCGACGGCGGUGGGCUGGGCCGGCACUUACGCUGAGGAGCGAAAGCGUGGGGAGCGAACAGG
rnacentral:rRNA from 1 species